rnacentral:rRNA from 1 species
GACGAACGCUGGCGGCGUGCUUAACACAUGCAAGUCGAACGGAAAGGCCCCUUUGGGGGUACUCGAGUGGCGAACGGGUGAGUAACACGUGAGUAACCUGCCCUUGACUUCGGGAUAACUUCAGGAAACUGGGGCUAAUACCGGUUAGGAAUCAUUGCUGCAUGGUGGGGGUUGGAAAGCUUCGGCGGCUUUGGAUGGACUCGCGGCUUAUCAGCUUGUUGGUGGGGUAGUGGCUUACCAAGGCUUUGACGGGUAGCCGGCCUGAGAGGGCGACCGGCGACAUUGGGACUGAGGUACGGCACAGACGCCUACGGGAGGCAGCAGUGGGGAAUAUUGCACAAUGGGCGGAGGCCGGAUGCAGCAGCGCCGCGGGCGGGAUGACGGCCUUCGGGUUGUAGACCGCUUUCAGCAGGGGCGAAGCUUGUGGUGACGGUACCUGCAGAAGAAGCACCGGCUAACUACGUG